rnacentral:lncRNA from 1 species
GCAGACUGGCUCCAGAUCUCCUCUAUUUCUCUCCCAGAACUCCUGACCCUGCCGCAAACUAACAUCUUGAAGAAUAUUUCUCCAACCACUGGUCUGUAGACCCAUCUCAUCGCCAGCACCCAGCCCCAGGUCCGUCCUCCACUGCCUGUGUGACUCUCAGUGGGACUCAGGACAGGAGACCCAGGAGCAGCACUUCUGCACACAAGAAGCAGAGGCAGAGGCAGGAGGCCACUCACCUGCCCACCUCCCCUGAAGCAGGCCCUAAAACCCAGGAGGGUCCCUCUCUCCUCUCCCUUAUCCUCUAAACACCCUCAGAUGACUGCUGGCUGCCCCAGCCUGGACCCAGGAACACCCUGAGCAAGCCCAGCUGUCUCCCCAGCUUAUCACCUGACCUUUUUCCCUCUGACCCUGCUCCCCGUGGCUGUCCGUAAAGACACAGACUUCCUCAUCUCUCUGGGUCUUUGCUUCUGAAAACGCCCACUCACACACAGCUUACCACCAAUACCUUGUCAUUCUUUCUGUGUUCAAUCUGUGUUUUGUUCCAGGGGCUUCAGCCCCCAACCUUAUAAAGGUAAGGGAAAGAAAUUCCAUUCCCUGUACUCUCUCUGCAAACACCUGGAAAUGGCGCCAUAGUCAAAACUACAAAAGUUUAAAGUUUCAUCUUUUAUAGAGCUUCCCAGACCGACCACAAUCGUGGGCCUCACUUCUGCUCCGUAUCUCGUCCCUGCGAGCUCUAGUCCUGGGCUUGUCACAUGGAGCUGGUGACGUCAGCUUUAUUGUGUUAGACAUAAAAGCUUCGCUAAAGGACAAAAAAUAAUAAAGAAUGCCUGACUUGGC